rnacentral:rRNA from 1 species
UACGUAGGGUGCGAGCGUUUGUCCGGAUUUACUGGGCGUAAAGGGCUCGUAGGCGGCCAACUAAGUCGGACGUGAAAUCCCUCAGCUUAACUGGGGAACUGCGUCCGAUACUGGAUGGCUUGGAUUUGGGAGAGGGAUGCGGAAUUCCAGGUGGUAGCGGUGAAAUGCGUAGAUAUCUGGAGGAACACCGGUGGCGAAGGCGGGCAUCCUGGA